CACGUAGGCACCAAGCGUUGUCCGGAUUUAUUGGGCGUAAAGAGCUCGUAGGCGGUUCAGUAAGUCGGGUGUGAAAACUUUGGGCUUAGCCCAAAGCGUGCAUCUGAUACUGCUGUGACUUGAGUUCGGUAGGGGAGUGGGGAAUUCCUAGUGUAGCGGUGAAAUGCGCAGAUAUUAGGAGGAACACCGGUGGCGAAGGCGCCACUCUGGGCCGAAACUGACGCUGAGGAGCGAAAGCAUGGGUAGCAAACAGG
rnacentral:rRNA from 1 species